rnacentral:misc_RNA from 1 species
GAUGAAGAACGUAGCGAAAUGCGAUAAGUAGUGUGAAUUGCAGAAUUCAGUGAAUCAUCGAAUCUUUGAACGCACAUUGCGCCCCUUGGUAUUCCAUGGGGCAUGCCUGUUCGAGCGUCAUUUGUACCUUCAAGCUUUGCUUGGUGUUGGGUGUUUGUCUCGCCUCUGCGUGUAGACUCGCCUUAAGACAAUUGGCAGCCGGCGUAUUGAUUUCGGAGCGCAGUACAUCUCGCGCUUUGCACUCAUAACGACGACGUCCAAAAGUACAUUUUUACACUCUUGACCUCGGAUCAGGUAGGGAUACCCGCUGAACUUAAGCAUAUCAAUAAGCGGAGA